AACGAACGCUGGCGGCAUGCCUAACACAUGCAAGUCGAACGAGACCUUCGGGUCUAGUGGCGCACGGGUGCGUAACGCGUGGGAACCUGCCCUUAGGUUCGGAAUAACUCCCCGAAAGGGGUGCUAAUACCGGAUAAUGUCUUCGGACCAAAGAUUUAUCGCCUUUGGAUGGGCCCGCGUUGGAUUAGCUAGUUGGUAGGGUAAAAGCCUACCAAGGCGACGAUCCAUAGCUGGGCUGAGAGGAUGAUCAGCCACACUGGGACUGAGACACGGCCCAGACUCCUGCGGGAGGCAGCAGUGGGGGAUAUUGGAAAAUGGGGGAAGGCCAGAUCCAGCAAGGCCGCGUGAGUGAUGAAGGCCUUAGGGUUGUAAAGCUCGUUUACCCGGGAUGAUAAUGACAGUACCGGGAGAAUAAGCUCCGGCUAACUCCGUG
rnacentral:rRNA from 1 species